GAUAUUACACAAUUUCUUUCUCUUCUUAAUUUAUUAUAAAAUCGCUCUCUUCGCUCACUCGGUACCGCGUUCGUCUUCGCGUCUUUAUCAACGACAUGAAUAGCUCGGUGCGUACGGGAUUACCGCGUUUUAUCAAUAUGAUCGCAGACAGGUCCUUGAGCGCGAUCUAACGCCAGCGGGAAUUUGCGCAAAAAGGCUGAAUGGCAAAUGCAGUCACGCCUACAUCACGUGUAUGUUCACGUAUGACGGCCAUUCGUUUCCUCCUCUUUCUCUGCGCCAGCACGUGUGCUGGUGCUAGCAAUUGUAUCGGUAUCCUCACGAGAGGAUACUGACAGCUCUUAUGGCUAGUACGUUUAACAUUUAUUGUGAUAACGUGACUAUGUCCUCCGUGAAUAACGGUGACGUGCACCUGGAAGUGCCUAAAAUUCGCGUUACUCUAAAGACAAGAAAUAUUCUGUGAGUAUUGACAAUUCUUCCUUCAAUAAAAAUUUAAUCCAAAAUAUGUAAGACAUAUUUAAUUGCGUCUAGCUUAAACACUUAAAAAAAAAAUCAUUUAAAUUACAGCUGUUACAUGUAUUUAAACAAAGAAAUGAAGAAACCAAUAGUUUGAAAAUUCAGAACUUUGGACUGUCAUAUUUUGACGCAUAUUAAAUCUUUUCAAGGACCACGUUUGUAAAUACUUCGGAACAACUCUCUGUCUUCUGAUACGCAUCUUUUGGAUCACCCUGUAUGAUCAUCAUCUCGAUUGUUAUCUACUAUAAUUACUAUUGAUGGUAGGCUAAGCACUAUCGAAGGUAGCUUGUUGUACGCGAAAACUUCGAUUUGCGCAGCGCAGCAGAAUGAUAAUUAUUGACAACAAAAGAGGCUCUCGAAUGCUACUUGUGGAAAGGAAGUCUUGUAAACUGACAAUACAUUCUCAUGCAAGUGUUUAAAAAUACACAUUUGUCUGCUUUACACGUAAAAAAAAAACAAAUACAGAUUACCAUUUAUAAUUAUAUAAUUUCUGAUAGUGUGUUAACAAGAGAAUUUUAGUUUUACGAAUUUAUCUUGUGAAUGUAAUUCCUUCAACUGAUCCUUGAUAAAUCCGGUUGUACAUUAGGUACAGACUUACCAAACAGAACGAAGGAGCGUGUUUAUCCGAUCUAGUUUCGAUGAACGUAUCUGGAAUGUCCUUUUUUUUAAGUGUUUAGUUUACAGGUAUAUGUUACAGGCUACUAUAAAUGGCAUGCAACAUUUGGUAUAUCGCAGGAUAGGUUACAUAUCUGGACAUUCGAUUUAUUUAUUUUAUUAAAUUAUCGUACAAGGAGCACUGGAUUUGGAUGCAGGGAGCAUGCUUAACACACAACUCGCGUUCACAUGAACAGAUUAUGGAAAAAAGAAGAAAUAGUACCCGAUUAAUAAAAACACGACUGUUUUCUUGAGUAUUGUUAUUAGGUAAUUACGAAAAAGAAAUCGUGAUUAUUGAACAAAUUACUGAAAAAGAAAUCGUGCAAUACUGUUCAGGGCAAGACAAACAUGAUAUUUCCGUACACACUCACUCAUGCGUUAUUAAAUGUUGUCUUGACUGAAAUGACAGAGUUCUAAAAGUAACGGUAUUUCUUCUGAAAUAGAAACGUAAAGUAAUCGGCGGAUUUAUUAAUGCUGUUUGCAAGUUAACUUUGCGAACAAGUAAAUUGUUAAGUAGUGCCAAUAUUUAAAUGCAUUUGUAGUUAUAUCUUUAUAUUAGACCCUCAUAUAUUUUAUAAAUUAUCUUAAAUAAACGUACAAUAAAUCUUUUCCUUUUUGUAAAUAUAAACGUGUUUUUAAAAUUUAUUCUUUAUAUUCUUUAUUUUUCUUUAGAAUCUACUCAAUAGAUUCGACAUAGUAAUUUGCGAGAUCAUUGCUCCAAUAUUUCGCCAAGUAUAUUGCGUAUAUGUCGAGCUCACAGAUUUACUACAAAGGGAAUAAUCGUCGCAUAUAGGCAAGAGAAGAUUAUAAAAUAUAGAGGCGGCAAUUCGCGAAUUGAAAGCAAACUAUCCGUCAUCAUUCUGGACUGUCAACCGUCAACGGUUGUCCGUUCAUCGUCCAUUAUCUCGCACUUUCCUCAACUCGUUUAAUACUUCGUGUUAUCCGCCCCGUU